UACGGAGGAGGCAAGCGUUAUCCGGUAUUAUUGGGCGUAAAGCGUCCGUAGGUGGCCAUUCAAGUCUGCUGUCACAGCAUGGAGCUUAACUCCAUAGAGGCAGUGGAAACUGAAUAGCUAGAGUUCGGUAGGGGUAGCGGGAAUUCCCAGUGUAGCGGUGAAAUGCGUAGAGAUUGGGAAGAACAUCGGUGGCGAAAGCGCGCUACUGGGCCGAAACUGACACUGUGGGACGAAAGCUAGGGGAGCGAAAGGG
rnacentral:rRNA from 1 species